CGCAGCCACUUCCGCCCGUCCUCCGGAAGUAGGAACCGGGCAACCGCUGGCUCCUCGCAUCCCGUCCAAUCGCCUGGCCCUUGCCCGCCCAUCACCACCGCCGCCACGGGAGCACGGGAGGUGGGUCUGCACCCUGGAGCCAGUCUACAGUGUUCGCGAGGUGGAGGACGAGGCGUUGCAGAAGCCCCCUGACCGGCUAGACCCUAUCUGGGUACCUGAACGAUUGGUGCGACGGGCCCCUCAGACGGAGAGACGUGAUGACACCCCAGAAGCUGAUGUGCCUGAUCCUGAUAGCCCUGAUUCUGACAAUCGUGCCAGUGGGAGCAGCUGAGGAUCGACUCACAAGCGGAACCUGGUCGGUGGAGUUUGAUAACCUGACCCAGAUCCUGCGCAAUGAGAUCAUUGCGGUCAACUCCACCCGUGUGCACCUGGCCUCUGCUGCAGAAAUGAUGUCUUGGCUGCGAAAUUCUAUCACCUUUUUAAAGGAGAGGGCGGGAUUAGGUGCCCUGGCAGGCCUACUGGUACUUGUCUCCCUGAUGUGCCUGUGGUGCAUUGUCCGUUUAAGGGUUUCUCAGCAGCGUAAUGCAGCCAUGAUUAUCCAAGCCUUUACAGCCAUAGAGGCUGGACAGUCUCCCCAGGCCUGGCUGGCCGCAUUAAAAGCUUGAUCGCGCAGGAUGCAAGGCUAGUGCACUGCACUUGGGUCUAGCUGUAUUGCAAAACCCAAGAAGAACAAGUCUGAUUGCAUGUGGGUUGAUACCCUAAUUCCCACCUCUGCAAAAAAGGGUAUCGGACGGGUCAAGUGUUCUCUGGGUGGAUGACACCUGGACUAACACCAGUACAAUGUCCAAGUUGUAUUUUGGCAGAGAUUAGACCUCUGCUCUUGCCUGCUGCUUAAAACAAUAAAGGGGGAACUGUAGAGAGCCGUGCACGGCCACGCCUCAAAGAUGGCACCGGCGUCCGGCUUCCGCCUUCCCGAUGGCAGGUGUUCUCUGGGAUAAACAACUCCUUAUUUGGCUUGGGCGUGGAAUCUGUCUUGCUUGCGUAUGUCUUACCCUAUCGGCAUUGUCCACGUGGCACUACGGGGUUGGUUGCCCAGUGGCUAUAAAGGGCGUGGGCUGGCUUUCCCUGGGGUCAGAAGAUUGUUCAAGGUUCCUGAAUUAACUGCUUGGAGAAGAGCCUGGUGUUGCAUCUUCCUUGCUGGUCGAGGCGGACGCGACAUCUUGGGACAAGGUUCAUCACCAACAGUCUUGAAGGAAAGUACCUUAGGUUUGAGAGAAAUACACCCUUUACUUCAAGUACAGCCAAACUCAAGUGGGGUAGUUGUGCUUCUUAAAUUCUGAGCUGGUUCUGAUUCUUAAAUUCAAGAGCUUGGUUCUGAUCCUAAUUCCAGUGACCAAUGCAUCAUGUACCCUGACCAGAUCACUUCCCUCUGCCUCUAAAACAUUUGAAAUUUGGAGAAAACAAUGUCAACAAACUUAAAACCUUGUAAUCCUUUAUCUAUUUUGAAGUGCUUUUUUAAAGCCAAAAUAACCAUUUUUACUUGUUGAAAGUAUUCAAGUGGUUAGUGUUUUAAGUAAUAAUAUUUAUUAAGCAUAUAGAGAAAUACAUCUGCUCAUCUUCCCCGGACACUCUCUGAUUUUUGCUAGGUAUGUGAUACAUUAUUUUCUGUCUUUACUCUGAGACAAAUAUGUUGUUACUAUAUCAUCCCUCUCGGAGCAAACACUAAGCUCCUUCAGAACAAUGGGAAGAUGUAAGUUAAAAGUGCCUCAGCAGUCCAGUUUGAGGGGUGGGAAGACCACAGGCUUCAUAAAAGUCCAGUCGACCACAGUACCUGCUACUUCACGGUGUUCUCACUGAUAAGUUGGUGUGUGUCUGUGACCACCGAUUUAUUCCUAGGAACUAUUAAAGAGCUGACUUUUUCAGAUGAUCUACCCUACUAAAAAAGUCAGACUAUUUGAGGUCAUGAUUGGGCUUAUUAGGCUUCCUUGCUUGCAUUCUGACAUGCUUUUUUGAGUGGUUGAAAAACAUCUGGGAUUUCAGUAGAGAACUGGGUAAUAUAUCAAUCAAAUGGAUCAGAGUUCCUCAGCUGCAACUGCAGGGGAAUACUAGGGGCGGCCGGGGGGUGGGGAGAGCUUGCCUUUUCUGCAGUUUGUCAAUAUUGGGAACAGCUCAGGCAGUUCAUCUCAGGGAAGAGACCAGAGACUGUUGGCCUGAGGCCCCCAAAGACUUGAGACCCAGCUCCUUUCAGCUUAGAUAUUCCUUCUCCUCCAUUUCCUGAAGUUAUCAGACUUUAUUACCAACUUAAAUGUCAUUCUCCUUGAAACUUCACUGUGUAGUUGAUACUUCUUUCUUGCCUGUAUUGAAAUUUACUCUAAAUAGUGGUCCCUGGUCUAAUCCCUUUCUGCAUUCCUCAGAUCCACAAUACCCACAGUAAUAGCCAGAGAAGGGUUGGAAAAGUGAGCAGCCCUCGGUACAUAGGAGACUGGAGCAGUCAUAGAAGAAACUUGGGUUCUAGUGAUUCACUGUGUGGAAAUCUUCCCAUGAAGAGGCUAUGGAAUCAAAACUAAGAAAGAAGAGUAGAAAAGAGAGUUAUAGAAUGCUGAUGAUUUAACUUGGCGAGUUAUAAGACAAGAAAUGGGAUAUCUAGGAAGAGGCCAGACUUAAAGUAUGAGUGAGUUUUACUCCUUCCAAUAAAAAGAAAAUUGCUACAGAAUAGAAUGCAGCCAAGAAAAUGUUAGAAAAUUGGUUGCACAUUGAAGAAAUCUGAACCAAGAGGACCAAAUUUGUGGAACAAUGGAAAACAGAAAAGAGGUAUUCCAAGAACAAAACAACAUACAUCAUCCCAUUAAAAAGUAAGGAAAUUUGAGGAGUCUAUCCUGCACAGGAGGAGCUAUGGCAAAGAGUGCAAGAAUAGGCUUGAGUUCAAAUGCUACCAUACUACAAAGCUUUGUACCCAUGGACAGACUCUUACCCCUCUUCCUCUGUGCCCAGGUUUCCUCACUUGCCGAAUAGAAAAGUAGCCUGUGUGUAAUUCUAUGAAAAUGAGGAGAGUUGUGAUGCUGUGUUAUACAAAAUGAAAGCUCUAGUUAGCCAUUUAUUUGAAAGAAGGAAAUUUUAGGAUAACCUUAUUAAAUUCUAGGAUCCCACAGAUGAGCAAAUUGUCAUUGCAGGAUAUUUAUUAUUAUUAUUUGCUUUGUUUUUUUGUUUAUUUUUGAGACAGGGUUUCUCUGUGUAACAGCUCUGGCUGUCCUGGAACUCACUUUGUAAACUCAAUUUACUAUCUACUUUUCUUUCUGGAUCACUCUUAGAUGGCUUUUGUGUGUUUAAAUCUUGUCUUCCAAUAUGGUUUUAGAUAUAGGAACUUGUGUUUUGGUCUUGUGUGCCUCUUAACAAGGUGAAAUACAUAGAGCUUAGUAAAUGGUUAUUGGUUUGUUUGUUUUUUAAUAAAGAAUUAUAAAUUUA